UGUUAUUCUUAUAGAUAAAUUCUGCAUGCAAUAUGCAAGUGUGGAGAUCAUGAUGUUUUAAUUGUAAUUGGGCAACAAAAUCAAAGUAAUUGGUUUCAGUUCCUUUGUAAUCAAUUAAGCAAUUAAAUAGCUCAGAUAUAAAAUGGGGAGAUGGAGAGAGCGCUGCCUUUUGAAGGACUGCACAUGCUGGUGAACUUGACCAGAAUGCAUGCACAUUCAGGCGCUUCUCCUUUAGGGGUGAAAGUGGACCAGAGAUGUGUAAUAUGCAUGUUCUCCAGUUUCCAUGUUGCUGGUAAGCUCAAGGAGAUGAUUUUUGCAAAGCUGUGAUUUAGUAAAGAAGUAAAAACCCUUGACGCUUAUUUAACCAUUAAGGCAACUUCAUUAGAUCAACUUCACCAUUCCUCAACACAACACUGAGGUGGACAAGUCUCUAGAACUGCUGGCAUGGACAUUGGUGAAGUCACCAGGCCAACAGUGGAAGCCAAUACAUUUGUGUCCUUGGUUGACCAUCACGAAAUGGAGCAAGAACUGAGACAUGACUUGACCUGUAGCUCUUUCGACAUAUUGUUCUCAGUUACAUUUAAUAAAAGAACACCUCAUUGAUUAUGCCAUCUACUUCAGUGCACUGGGGGAUGUUGACUGAUACAGAUUGGACCUCGCUUCAACACCCCUCCACCAAUCUGAUUUGAUGCGACUGCUGGUUCUGCAUUACUUGUGUGGGCAAUCCAUCCACAAAGGAUGAUCACAAUUGUUUGACUUAUUUCAAUUGCUGUAAUGCAGAAGUGUCCAAGCUCUAUCCUGGAGGGUCGGUGUCCUGCAGAAUUUAGCUCUAACCCUAUUCAAACACCUGAACCAGCUAAUUGGUAUCUUACUAGAUAUUUCCUAGCAGGUGUUGGAGCUAAACUCAGCAGGACUCCUGUACUGAGGACACCUAUGCUGUAAUGAGUCUCAACUCCAUUCCUGGAGGGCUGCUAUGUUGCACAGUUUUGCUCCAACGCUGAUCUCAUUACACCUUGAUGUGUUUGAUUUAAAGUUGGAGCAAAACUGUGCAGUGCUGCAGCCCUCCAGGAAUGGAGUUUGAGAUUUGUGCUGUAAUAAAGCAUCUUGUAUGGGUUUUUUUUUCUCAACUGUUUUCAAACUAAAUAUCCAAUCUUAAAUUUCACAUGUUAAAGUUAAACAAAAUCAAUACUGAACAUUAUAAAACAAUUUUUUUUUUUUUAAAAUACAAUUGACUAAAGGUGAUUAAAUUACAUUUAAAUUACAUUACACUUCUAAUUACAACAGUAAAGAAAUAAAUUUUAACUCUGCAUUUAAAAAUACUUUUAACAAAUCUAUUUAGAACUUAGUAUUUAUAACUUUUCUUUUAAACUUUUAAACUGAAAAUAACUUUUCCCCUCUCUAAUAAACCAGAAAUUUCUACAAGCGAUAUGAAUCAAUAUGUCUGCUAUUAAACUGCAUGAAUGUUAAUUCGCCCCCAUGGUCUAAGUUAGUUGUGACAUAAUUUCUACCAGAAUAAAAUCCUAAUAUAAUAAGAAUUUAAAAAGCUUAAUAUAAUAUGCAUCAGCUUCUAGAAACACUAUUUGCCUGAGUUAAAACACAACCAAAACUGCUCUAAGCUCCUUUAAGCUCUAUAAGCAAACAACUAUUAAAACCUAGAAAUAGUUAAAUUUGCUUCGGGGUUGGAGAUAACAUUGUGUGUUAGAAUUAAAGAGUUUAGUUGUUAGAUAUAAUCCAGAGUCUUAUACACAUGAGUUUACUUACCUUAAUGGAGGCAGUGCUCUCAAUCUCAACUCCAGCAGGGCCACAUCAGCUCCAAAUCACAGCAGGUGGUCUCGAUCACCUUGAUUAGUUGGAUCAGGUGUGUUUAAUUGUCAGGACUAAUUCAGAGUCUUGUAGACAUGAAUUUGCUAACCUUCAGCCAUCAUCUCUAACUCAACUCCAGCAGGUUCACAUCAGCUCCAAAUCACAGCAGGUGGUCUUGAUCACCUUGAUUAGCUGGAUCAGGUGUG